UUUACAUCUAACACAAUUUCCCAACUCAUAUAGAAAUGGGGUUUGUAUGAUGCUUGGGGAAAUCGUCUAUUUGUGACUCAAAAAGUCAAAAGUUUUAAAUGUGUUUUCGGCUAUCUUGCCACUUCUGGGUUUAUGGAAAAUACAGUACUAUCAGAUGGUGCAAUUGUAACAUUCCUAAAUAUGUUAGCUAGUCCGCGCAAGCUAACAUUAUGCUACAGCUCUUGUAUUAGAUGUAAUUAGUUUAUUGUGAUUAUUUUAAGCCCUCUCUCAGAAGAUCUCCUUUAGACACUAAUUAGCAAAGGAGCAUUGUGCCACGAGCAGGAAAUCUUUGUAAUAUUGAUUUUGUUGCCUGUGUUCAUUGACGAGCGAGGGAGAGAGACGAGUCUGCUUCCUUUGUGGGAUUCUACGUCUUGAAUGACACUCAUGAGCUAGCUUUUAAUAAGAUGUUGCUUUUUUGUAUCGAUUGUGUAGCUUUACCGCCCAUUUAGGUUCUGCAUCUGCAUGCAGCUCCAUUUCAUUUUGGAGAUCGCCAGUAUGAGCUAACUAAGAGAUAAUAAGACCUUUGGAAAUGCAAAAUAGCCAGAGUCAUCUUUUCACAGCCGAUUAUGUCGCACUUUAAAGAUGAUGGGAGGACUUUUCAAUUUGACAGCCAUUAGACGUGCGGGAUUGAAUAAUAGACAAGCACCUUUGUCUCUUCCUGUGUUCUUUAUCUUCCCUCAUCUGCAUGUGCUUGUCUUGUUCUCCUCCAUCUUAACUGUAUUGGAGUCUUUCCUUCCUCCCGUCAAGCUCCCAGGUGUGGACUUUCUUCUUGUAGGAAGUCCCGGCUGGCUUUUCUAUCCCCGACUCAAAGUUUGGAUUGACAUUUCACCACACAUCAAAUAACGCUUCAGUCACUAAAUCCACAUUUUCCUGCAGUCUUUCGUCCGCAGGAAAAUGUGUCUCUCUGGAUCCCGCUUGAUACUUCAAGAGCGUUCAGAUAAAGUCCUUGGAAACCGCGUCCGCAAAGUUGGGCGCCGACAUGAGGAUGGAGAUGGUGCAAAUGAUGUUGAAGACGCUGAACGCCACCAAGCACAGGCGGUCGAUUACGGCGCCCGCAAACUUCCACUGGUCGGCCACGCACUCUGCUUCGUCCUGCUCCUUGAAGCGGUCCGCCAAGUAGCGCACCUCCUCCAGGACGGCCUGAAGUAAAGGGUCCCCGUGACCUGCGGCCUGACCCACAGCGUUGCCAAACCCCCCGCCGCUGGAGACAAUGCUGGGGCAUCCUACCACGUCCAAGUUGGGGCUUGGGGAGCUGCACAGGUGAGGCGGCAGAUGCGGUGGCGGACUUCGCGGUCCUGAGGGGGCGUUGAUACUCCUCUGGGGGGCGUCUACGAGCACUGAGGGUUCCUCCAUCGGCUGGAAGCCCAUGUAAAGAAGAUUCCCGUUGUUGGCGCUGGAUUGGAGGUGCCCCGCGUGUAGAGGGGCGAGGUUCUGAGGGUGCAGCGGGUGCAGGGCGGGGUCGCCGUGGUUCGGGAUGCUGCCGCUGUGGGAGCCUGAGGAACAGCGACGUAGAUGGGGGGCGCACUGGGGCCUCUCGGGUUUCUCCGCUUCGCCAGGACGCUUCAUCCGCAGGAACCACGCCACCCACUGGAGCAGGACCAGCUUCACCUGUGGAAACAGAACGCCAACAGUGCACUCCAGUCACCUGCAGGUCACUUUUUUUUUACAUUACCUCAGCCAAAGUACAAAUCUUAGGAACACAAGUGAGACAAUGUGACUUUUACAGUAGAAUGAAGUUGCUGGGCGCUGCUUCCAAAUGCAAAUGAAGCAAUUUUUAUGUUGCCUAUACUGCCACACUUAUGUAUCACCUUGUCUUGUUGCUUCACAUCUAGGUGUCCCCUGCAAAGGCAGAAAGAUGCUUCACUGAAGGUGGGCGGUCACUGCGCUGCUGCAGGCUCACCUAUGAGGUCCCACUCCCCGUUGGACAUGUAGCCCGACACGUCCGCGUCGUUCAUCUGGAGAUCGAGCAGCCAGCCGUCGUACGUCCACGAACCGAACUUGAGCACACACUUCUGGAUGUCGAAGGGGAACCAUCGAACGUCCACGUUGCAGAAGCUGCAGCAACACGUCCUACACACACACACACACACACACACAUGCAAGAUGGAAUGGUGGCCAUCCUUCCAUGUGAUUCAGUUGAUCCCUCUGUUGUGAGACGUGUGCUUGUGAAAGGAACACCGCAAGAUAGACGACAUGCAAAGGCAUCCCCAGAUCUUCCGGGAGCGAUGUCACCAUGCAAACAGAAUUCUGUAGAAGCUCACCGUGUAUCAACGCGGACAAUCCUGAAAGGAGCAGAGCCGCCGAGUGCCACAUCCUGCUGGGGAGAAGAGCGGGAUGCUGGAGGACGAGGAAGAAGAGUG